rnacentral:rRNA from 1 species
GACGAACGCUGGCGGCGUGCUUAACACAUGCAAGUCGAACGGAAAGGCCCUGCUUUUGUGGGGUGCUCGAGUGGCGAACGGGUGAGUAACACGUGAGUAACCUGCCCUUGACUUUGGGAUAACUUCAGGAAACUGGGGCUAAUACCGGAUAUGAUCUCCUGCUGCAUGGUGGGGGUUGGAAAGUUUCGGCGGUUGGGGCUGGACUCGCGGCUUAUCAGCUUGUUGGUGGGGUAGUGGCUUACCAAGGCUUUGACGGGUAGCCGGCCUGAGAGGGUGAACGGCCACAUUGGGACUGAGAUACGGCCCAGACUCCUACGGGAGGCAGCAGGGGGGAAUAUUGCACAAUGGGCGGAAGCCUGAUGCAGCAACGCCGCGUGCGGGAUGACGGCCUUCGGGGUGUAAACCGCUUUCGCCUGUGACGAAGCGUGAGUGACGGUAAUGGGUAAAGAAGCACCGGCUAACUACGUG